UACGAAGGGGGCUAGCGUUGCUCGGAAUGACUGGGCGUAAAGAGCGUGUAGGCGGCCCGGUAAGUCCGCUGUAAAAGUCAAAGGCUCAACCUUUGAAUGUCAGUGGAUACUGCCGGGCUAGAGUCCGGAAGAGGCGAGUGGAACUCCUGGUGUAGCGGUGGAAUGCGCAGAUAUCAGGAAGAACACCAACGGCGAAGGCAGCUCGCUAGGACGGUACUGACGCUGAGACGCGAAAGCGUGGGGAGCGAACAGG
rnacentral:rRNA from 1 species